CAAGCGCAAUGCACCCGUUAGAGACUCAAUCGCGGAAGACGACAGUCGUCUGUUUCUAGACUCCCUUCUCAUCAAAAUGGGCACCAGUGCGGAAGAGCUAACCCGUGUGGUCCAAAAAAUUGAAAUGGGCGGACAAAACAUUCAGCCAUGAUUACACUUCUUGUGAAGGUUUGGGUUGGGAGACUCUCGGCAGCUGAUGAUGAAACUGCAUCUGUGUCGCUUUCUCCUUCUUCUCCCCCUUCAGGAGGUAAGGAGGACAGAGUCAGCGCGGCUGACAUCACAGGGGACUACUCCAGGUGUCAGUGUGUCCUCUUCGUAUUCUGUUCAUUAAAUGCUUUCGUUGAACCAGAUGGACAGGAGUUAAAUAUUCACUUCAACCAGGGAGGCCUUAGGCUUUGGGACCUCAGAUAAACUAGAAAUUAUCUCAUUUGUUGGUCCAUCCUUGCUUACCCUUUAGGCAUUUUUGUUUCGUACUGUCAUUUCUUUAUAAAUUCUACCCACAACUGUGACAUAUAACUUGAAUAAAAUAAAAUUAAAUUGUACACAAUGUACCAGUAUCUAUAUAUUUUUUAAUGAAUCCUUUCAUAUAUUCAAAGUAAAUGUUUAUUGACCCAAAAUCUACAAGUUUAAAUUGUAAAUUAUGUAGUUUUCUCUCUGCGGUGGAAUAAUUUGUGAGAUAUUUGUGUAGAUGGUGUAGUGAACAACUCACAAACGAAUAGCACAGACUAGCAGAGUUGGGUCAUGUCAAAGCAUUCAUGCCCGUCACAUUAGUGAUGAAGGGAUGACUGUUUUGUUUGAGGUUAUAGGCAAAGCAAUGGAAAAUUCAUAACACUCAACUUUGGCAGAAUUUUUUAGAUUUUGGAUUCAAAACAUAAAACCUUGCAAGGAUUGAAUGCUGUCAGUGUUUCUACUUGUGCAAGCGUUUCUACUGUGCAAGCGUUUAAGGACUCUAUCAUGACAUUAUGAAUUUGAGAUUCCAAAAAGAUUACAACUAUGCAGUUUUGUAUUUUUAUUCAACCAAAAUGUCGUGGCUUGAAAGAUGAUUCUCUCAAUUAAGGUUUGAAAUUUAUUGAAUUGGAAUUUUUGGAUUUGUACAUGAUCCUCUGUUUGACUCAUGCACUUUGUCUUUUGACGUUAACUUUCCCCUGGGCACUUUGUGCACUUAAGUCCCUUGCGCUCCCCUCCUUGCCCCAUGCCCCUUUCCCCCUGCCCCCCCCCCCCCUGACCUCCCAUUCCCCUUCCCCCCUCCCUGACCUCCCUGCCCCCUGCCCCCUUUACCCCUCCCCCUGAUCCCCUGACCCCUCCCCCCUUGUAUUUGAAUGCCUGUGUGCAAUCUGUAAUUCUCAUUUGGCUCAGUAGCUUCCAAUGUUAUUCCAAGGACAGUUAUGAAAAUAGGUUCUUUUUAGUAAAACACGCAUAAUUUCAGUAUUUUUUUUUUCAGAUGAGUGAAGAACAUGCUAUUUUAAGACAUACUUCAUUGGUGUAUAAAAUUUGAUUGCGUUUUAACAAAAAAAAUAUAUCAUUAAUCCAGGUCACUCACCCUAUAUUGUACCCUUCAUUUUUCGAAUCUUGCCCGACCCAAUGCUGCAUACCGGGCUUCAUGUACAUCCAUCAUGUACAUGUACAAUCACCAUGUACAUUCAUCGUACGCAAACGUAACUUCAACAAAUUCGCGGAGAAAAGGCAAUACUACUGUGCACAAACGAAAAGAUUUGUAUCUUCAAACUGACUGUCAGCUUGUGAUAUUUUUAGACAUGUUUUAUUUUCUCUCAUACAAAGCUUUCAACAUUUCCAUCCAACACUGAAAAGCCCGCAGAAGAAAAACAAUUGAUGAAAAAAUAUAUCCCCCCCCCCCUCCGUUUGUUAUCUGCAGCGGGACCUUUUUUAAGACGUAAUACAAAUAUCGGACUGGUCUAGAUUGAAUAGGAUGAGGCCAACCUCAGAUUUAUGAGCCAAAUUCUUUUGGUUUUUCCUCUUCGUAUCCAACCUUCACUUGUCCAUUAAUCAACUCCCCAUGGUAUCUGCCUAAGCCCCUCUGUCAACACAAAAUGUCCAUAUCGCCACUUAAGACGGACAUGGUAUUAUGCGGAUUUCUCCCCUGUUUUUGAUUUGUUUGGGUGUUUAAAAUGCACGUAUUUCCUCUGUCUGAUGCAGCUUAGACAAUUCCCUCAAUGGGAACCUGCACGUGUACCCAGCGUUCAUCCCAUUGUGGGUUUUUCUUAUAUGAUGAAUUCAUACAUAUACAUUGCUGUUACGGAGGAAAUGUUUUCCUAUGGGAGUGCUUGUUAAUACAAAAGUCACCACUUUGCAAUUGUAUUUAGUUGUUUCCCGGUUGUGAUGGAUUGCAAAGAAUAAUAAAUUGCCCUAUUACAAUUUGGGGGAAAAAAUC